rnacentral:rRNA from 1 species
UACGUAGGGUGCAAGCGUUGUCCGGAAUUAUUGGGCGUAAAGAGCUCGUAGGCGGUUUCGUUAGUCGGGUGUGAAAACCCCAGCUCAACCUGGGGACGCCACCCGAUACUGCGAUGACUAGAGUCCGGUAGGGGAGUGUGGAAUUCCUGGUGUAGCGGUGAAAUGCGUUGAUAUCAGGAGGAACACCCAUGGCGAAGGCAGCAAACGUGGGCAUUAUCUGACGCUGAGGCGCGAAAGCGUGGGUAGCAAACAGG